rnacentral:rRNA from 1 species
UACGGGGGGGGCAAGCGUUGUUCGGAAUUACGGGGCGUAAAGGGCGCGUAGGCGGCUUGGUCAGUCCCGUGUGAAAUCCCUCGGCUCAACUGAGGAACUGCACGGGAAACUGCCUGGCUUGAGUUCGGGAGAGGGAAGCGGAAUUCCGGGUGUAGCGGUGAAAUGCGUAGAUAUCAGGAGGAACACCAAUAGCGAAGGCAGCUCGCUGGGACGGUACUGACGCUAAGGCGCGAAAGCGUGGGGAGCGAACAGG